AGAAGCUCUGACGGUACCUGAGGAAUCAGCAUCGGCUAACUCCGUGCCAGCAGCCGCGGUAAUACGGAGGAUGCAAGCGUUAUCCGGAAUUAUUGGGCGUAAAGCGUCCGCAGGCGGCUAGAUAAGUCUGCUUUCAAAGAGUGGGGCUCAACCCCAUAGGGGGAGUGGAAACUGUUUAGCUAGAGUAUGGUAGGGGCAGAGGGAAUUCCCAGUGUAGCGGUGAAAUGCGUAGAUAUUGGGAAGAACACCAGUGGCGAAGGCGCUCUGCUGGACCGAGACUGACGCUGAGGGACGAAAGCUAGGGGAGCGAAAGGGAUUAGAUACCCCUGUAGUCCUAGCUGUAAACGAUGGACACUAGGUGUUGCGCGUAUCGACCCGUGCAGUGCCGUAGCUAACGCGUUAAGUGUCCCGCCUGGGGAGUACGCACGCAAGUGUGAAACUCAAAGGAAUUGACGGGGGCCCGCACAAGCGGUGGAGUAUGUGGUUUAAUUCGAUGCAACGCGAAGAACCUUACCAGGGUUUGACAUCCCUCGAAUCUCUGCGAAAGUGGAGAGUGCCUUCGGGAGCGAGGAGACAGGUGGUGCAUGGCUGUCGUCAGCUCGUGUCGUGAGAUGUUGGGUUAAGUCCCGCAACGAGCGCAACCCACGUUUUCAGUUGCCAGCAUUAAGUUGGGGACUCUGGAGAGACUGCCGGUGACAAACCGGAGGAAGGUGUGGACGACGUCAAGUCAUCAUGCCCCUUACAUCCUGGGCUACACACGUACUACAAUGGUUAGGACAAAGGGCAGCGAAGCCGCGAGGUGGAGCAAAACUCAUAAACCUAGCCUCAGUUCAGAUUGCAGGCUGCAACUCGCCUGCAUGA
rnacentral:rRNA from 1 species